rnacentral:snRNA from 1 species
GUGCUUGCUUCGGUAGCACAUAUACUAAAUUUGGAAUGAUACAGAGAAGAUAGCAUGGCCCCUGUGCAAGGAUGACACGCAAAUUCAUGAAGUGUUCCAUAUUUUU